GUCAAGCAUCUGAUCCAUAGUAGUAAGUAUUCCCGCCUGUCACGUGGGUGACCCGGGUUUGAUCCCCGGCAACGACG